AAUUUUGGACAAUGGGCGCAAGCCUGAUCCAGCCAUGCCGCGUGAGUGAAGAAGGCCUUCGGGUUGUAAAGCUCGUUCGGACGGAAAGAAAUCGCGCAGUCUAAUAACCUUCGCGGUUGACGGUACCGUCAGAAAAAGCACCGGCUACCGACGUUCCAGCAGCCGCGGUAAUACGUAGGUGGCGUGCGUUAAUCGGAAUUACUGGGCGUAAAGACUGCGCAGGCGGUUGAUUAAGACAGGCGCGAAAUCACCGGGCUUAACCUGGGAACUGCGCUUGUGACUGGUCAGCUAGAGUACGGCAGAGGGGGGUGGAAUUCCACGUGUAGCAGUGAAAUGCGUAGAGAUGUGGAGGAACACCGAUGGCGAAGGCAGCCCCCUGGGCCGAUACUGACGCUCAUGCACGAAAGCGUGGGUAGCAAACAGG
rnacentral:rRNA from 1 species